GUUCAAUUAAACGAGAAGACGUUCGCGCUACGCUGAGAAGGACUGACCACGAUCUAAUAAAAUGGACCCUUGCGACUGCACCAAGACUGGAACCUGCAACUGCGGCACAUCAUGCACCUGCCUAAACUGCUCCUGCACAACAUGCAAGAAAAGUUGUUGCGAGUGCUGUCCAGUAGGCUGCAACAAGUGCGCCUCCGGGUGCGUGUGCAAAGACAAUGGCUGCGGUACAAAUUGUUGCCAGUGAGGACUGUCUCAAAAGCUUCCGAAAGGGGGGGCUUGUUGGAAGGGACUAAGUAAUUUGUUAAUUGCUGUACUCUUCCAAAAUAAACUGCAUCUUCUCUACCUGU